rnacentral:rRNA from 1 species
UGGGGAAUAUUGGACAAUGGGCGCAAGCCUGAUCCAGCCAUGCCGCGUGUGUGAAGAAGGCCUUCGGGUUGUAAAGCACUUUCAGCGAGGAGGAAGGGAGUUGUGUUAAUAGCACAGCUUCUUGACGUUACUCGCAGAAGAAGCACCGGCUAACUCUGUGCCAGCAGCCGCGGUAAUACAGAGGGUGCAAGCGUUAAUCGGAAUUACUGGGCGUAAAGCGCACGUAGGCGGUUUUUAAGUCAGAUGUGAAAGCCCCGGGCUCAACCUGGGAAUUGCAUUUGAAACUGGAAAACUAGAGUGUGUGAGAGGGGGGUAGAAUUCCAAGUGUAGCGGUGAAAUGCGUAGAGAUUUGGAGGAAUACCAGUGGCGAAGGCGGCCCCCUGGCACAACACUGACGCUCAGGUGCGAAAGCGUGGGGAGCAAACAGGAUUAGAUACCCAUGUAGUCCCUGAGCGGGCUGGCAAGGCGCAU